rnacentral:rRNA from 1 species
AUAGAGUUUUGAACCUGGCUCAGAUUGAACGCUGGCGGCAGGCUUAACACAUGCAAGUCGAGCGGGGAAAGGUAGCUUGGUACCUGACCUAGCGGCGGACGGGUGAGUAAUGCUUAGGAAUCUGCCUAUUAGUGGGGGACAACAUUCCGAAAGGAAUGCUAAUACCGCAUACGCCCUACGGGGGAAAGCAGGGGAUCUUCGGACCUUGCGCUAAUAGAUGAGCCUAAGUCAGAUUAGCUAGUUGGUGGGGUAAAGGCCUACCAAGGCGACGAUCUGUAGCGGGUCUGAGAGGAUGAUCCGCCACACUGGGACUGAGACACGGCCCAGACUCCUACGGGAGGCAGCAGUGGGGAAUAUUGGACAAUGGGCGCAAGCCUGAUCCAGCCAUGCCGCGUGUGUGAAGAAGGCCUUUUGGUUGUAAAGCACUUUAAGCGAGGAGGAGGCUACUUGGAUUAA